AUGUCGGAGGAGCCCGUUGACAUCGAAAUCCAACUCAAUGUAAGGGGCACAACGCCGUCUGAAGAUAGAGCGUUGGUCAGCUAUGUCUAUUAUUAUGAUGGUGAUUAUGAAUAUAGUUUAAGCCCGAUCAUCAUUGAAAAGCACUCUUGCACAAUAGAGUUGAGCGCUCAACAGCUUAAACGUUCAGUCCAAGCCACCAUCUUUGGUGCUCAUGUUGUUGUCGUUGACAAGUCAAAUCCUUUUGAACAUGGAGUCCGGGUUGUCUGCUCCUCACUAUCUCAGCAGCACGACACUGAAGACGCCGAUGAGUCCCCAUCUAUGGAACUUGUGUUGCUUGAUUCGAAAGUAGCAAGAAAGCGUGUGGUGGCACGUGGUUACCUCAAUCUGUCAAGGCAAGUUGUUUCUGUGAAAUUGAGUGGAAAGCUUAAAGUUCUCAUUCAAGCAUACACACCAUCCGGAGGAAUCGCGACACAGGGUCAUGUCUUCGUCAUGCCCAAGACAUGCAACACCAGCGAACAUGCAUGUGACCUUGACGGCUUCAAGGUGGAGUUUACCGUUGCUUGGUCCUAUCUUGUUGAAGAUGAGGAGCAUAUCUUGAUGAAUGGGCGCGUGGAUCCUUUCGCAUCGUGUCCUCUACAUCCCUCUUUUGCCCUCGAAGGGAAACCUUCUAGUGUUAGUUUGUUGAUGUAA
rnacentral:rRNA from 1 species